rnacentral:rRNA from 1 species
UACGAAGGGGGCGAGCGUUAUUCGGAAUCACUGGGCGUAAAGCGUGCGUAGGCGGUUUUGAAAGUUGGAAGUGAAAGCCCAGGGCUCAACCCUGGAAUUGCUCUCAAAACUACAAGACUCGGAUUCGGGAGAGGAUAGCGGAAUUGUCAGUGUGGCAGUGAAAUGCGUAGAUAUUGACAGGAACACCAGUGGCGCAAGCGGCUAUCUGGACCGACAUCGACGCUGAGGCACGAAAGCGUGGGGAUCAAACAGG